CGUCCGGAGCCUGUGCUCCGCAACGGGAGAGGCCACAACAGUGCGAGGCCCGCGUACCACACACACACACAAAAAAGCCUACUAGUUUCUGAGGAACUCCUUAAUUCCAAGCCUCCUUUUCAAUGACGUGUGCCAUCAGAUCAGCCAAGCUGAGGGCGCUACAGUCACCACCUUAAGAUGAGGAAGACCAGCCUUGGCAAGCACAAGUGAGAAAGCCAGGCAGAGAGAAG